CCAUGGCAGGGCGAGGUGCUGAACACAGCGUGUUUGAGGUAUGAGCAGGUGUGCAAAGCCAGCCUUCUGUCAAGGAGCAGAGUCAGUGUGGGAGCUAGAUCCUUGAGGAGUGGCUGCAGCAGUGCCAUCACAGAUAUAGACAUGCAUGGCAUCCACUGGGGUCCCAACUGAGGGAGCCAGCCCAUGACUAUAAACUUAAUUAAGUGAACUCAAAAUGCCUGUGAUCCGCCGUGGAGCCGUCGUGCUGCGAAGCGUGCCAGUUUCCCAGUUUCACCUAUGAUAAAUAGAUAAGGCUCUCUUGGUAUUUGUGGUAUUUCCGUGCACUGUGCUGUAAUAAUAGAAAUGACCUUGGCUAUCACAAAGAGCGGGACUGUUAAGUGCAAGUUGCAUUGUGGUCUGGCAGGUGAAUGGGCAGUUUUUUAAAGUAUCAAAUUAUACUGUGCCACUGUAUCAUAGCGGACAGACUGUCUGCAGCCGUGCUGAGUCAGAAUAAAGGUCCAUUUAGCUGGUACCCUUCCUGCCACAAUGGCUGUUAGCAGAUGGUAUGAGAAGGAGUACAAGAAAGGAAUGCAAGUGGAGACUAAUCCUUUCCUCGGUGUAACCUCCCUGCUUCUAACAGGAUGAAGUGUAGGGGCUUUCCAAGCAAUAAUGAACAUUUAGACCAUUAUGCUGAAUAAACACUAGUGGCCCCAUCCUGAGAUGGCCAUAUCUAUUUAUCAAAGGUACUCUAAAAACUGCCUUUUAAAACGUCUGUGAAUGGAGAAAGCUGGGUUGUACAAUUUUUUUUUCACACCUUUCCAGCGUGGGAGUUUGUUUUCCAGAGCAGGGAUUAUAUCGUUUUGUGUAUUAUGUCUCCUUGUGUAUGUAGGGCAGGAUUUACCGGAAUGCCAGUGUAUCCGUACAUAUGUGUUUGAACUGCUGCAGUCAUGAUAAGAAUCUGCCAGCAGGGGUCACACAGCUACACACAAAAAGUAAUCACAGCCCUCCGAAGUAAUGAACUUUAUCAGUGUUCAAAAGUUAGGAAAGGAACUAGGUGACUCUUUUUUCUUUCUCGCAUUAAAAAAAAAAAAAAACAAAA